rnacentral:rRNA from 1 species
GGUCAAGCGAACAAGUGCAUGUGGUGGAUGCCUUGGCGAUCACAGGCGAUGAAGGACGCGGUAGCCUGCGAAAAGCUUCGGGGAGCUGGCAAACAAGCUUUGAUCCGGAGAUGUCCGAAUGGGGAAACCCGGCCCUUAUGGGUCAUCCCUGACUGAAUACAUAGGUCAGGGAAGCGAACGCGGCGAACUGAAACAUCUAAGUAGCUGCAGGAACAGAAAUCAACCGAGAUUCCCAGAGUAGUGGCGAACGAAAUGGGAAGAGCCUUGUACUCUUUAGCAGCAUUGUUAGCAGAACGGGAUGGAAAGCCCGGCCAUAGCAGGUGAUAGCCCUGUAUGCGAAAACAGCGUUGUGGAACUAGGUGUACGACAAGUAGGGCGGGACACGUGAAAUCCUGUCUGAAGAUGGGGGGACCAUCCUCCAAGGCUAAAUACUCGUGAUCGACCGAUAGUGAACCAGUACCGUGAGGGAAAGGCGAAAAGAACCCCGGGAGGGGAGUGAAAUAGAUCCUGAAACCGCAUGCAUACAAACAGUCGGAGCCUGGAAACGGGUGACGGCGUACCUUUUGUAUAAUGGGUCAGCGACUUACAUUCAGUGGCAAGCUUAACCGAUUAGGGAAGGCGUAGCGAAAGCGAGUCCGAAUAGGGCGUUCAGUCGCUGGGUGUAGACCCGAAACCAGACGAUCUAUCCAUGGCCAGGUUGAAGGUGCGGUAACACGUACUGGAGGACCGAACCCACUAACGUUGAAAAGUUAGGGGAUGAGCUGUGGAUAGGGGUGAAAGGCUAAACAAGUCUGGAAAUAGCUGGUUCUCUCCGAAAACUAUUUAGGUAGUGCCUCGUGUCUCACCUUCGGGGGUAGAGCACUGUCAUGGUUGGGGGGUCUAUUGCUGAUUACCCCGCCAUAGCAAACUCCGAAUACCGAAGAGUGCAAUCACGGGAGACAGACAUCGGGUGCUAACGUCCGGUGUCAAGAGGGAAACAACCCAGACCGCCAGCUAAGGUCCCUAAGAUUGGCUAAGUGGGAAACGAAGUGGGAAGGCUAAAACAGUCAGGAGGUUGGCUUAGAAGCAGCCAUCCUUUAAAGAAAGCGUAAUAGCUCACUGAUCGAGUCGUCCUGCGCGGAAGAUGUAACGGGGCUAAGCCAGUCACCGAAGCUGCGGAUGCACGUAAGUGCAUGGUAGGAGAGCGUUCUGUAAGCCUGUGAAGGUGUCUUGUAAAGGAUGCUGGAGGUAUCAGAAGUGCGAAUGCUGACAUGAGUAGCGAUAAAGGGGGUGAAAAGCCCCCUCGCCGUAAGCCCAAGGUUUCCUACGCAACGUUCAUCGGCGUAGGGUGAGUCGGCCCCUAAGGCGAGGCAGAGAUGCGUAGCUGAUGGGAAGCAGGUUAAUAUUCCUGCACCGUCGUAUGAUGCGAUGGGGGGACGGAUCGCGGAAGGUUGUCCGGGUGUUGGAAGUCCCGGUCCCUGCAUUGGAGAAGGCGCUUAGGCAAAUCCGGGCGCGGAAUUCAAGGAUGUGGGGCGAGCGGCCUAGUGCUGCGAAGCAAUUGGAAGUGGUUCCAAGAAAAGCCUCUAAGCUUCAGUCAUACGAGACCGUACCGCAAACCGACACAGGUGGGCGAGAUGAGUAUUCUAAGGCGCUUGAGAGAACUCGGGAGAAGGAACUCGGCAAAUUGGUACCGUAACUUCGGGAUAAGGUACGCCCUUGUAGCUUGACUGGCCUGCGCCAGGAGGGUGAAGGGGUUGCAAUAAAAUGGUGGCUGCGACUGUUUAAUAAAAACACAGCACUCUGCAAACACGAAAGUGGACGUAUAGGGUGUGACGCCUGCCCGGUGCCGGAAGAUUAAAUGAUGGGGUGCAAGCUCUUGAUUGAAGUCCCGGUAAACGGCGGCCGUAACUAUAACGGUCCUAAGGUAGCGAAAUUCCUUGUCGGGUAAGUUCCGACCUGCACGAAUGGCGUAACGAUGGCCACACUGUCUCCUCCCGAGACUCAGCGAAGUUGAAGUGUUUGUGAUGAUGCAAUCUCCCCGCGGCUAGACGGAAAGACCCCAUGAACCUUUACUGUAGCUUUGCAUUGGACUUUGAACCGAUCUGUGUAGGAUAGGUGGGAGGCUUUGAAGCGUGGACGCUAGUCUGCGUGGAGCCGUCCUUGAAAUACCACCCUGGUUUGUUUGAGGUUCUAACCUUGGUCCGUGAAUCCGGAUCGGGGACAGUGCAUGGUAGGCAGUUUGACUGGGGCGGUCUCCUCCCAAAGUGUAACGGAGGAGUUCGAAGGUACGCUUGGUACGGUCGGACAUCGUACCUAAAGUGCAAUGGCAAAAGCGUGCUUAACUGCGAGACCGACAAGUCGAGCAGGUGCGAAAGCAGGACAUAGUGAUCCGGUGGUUCUGAAUGGAAGGGCCAUCGCUCAACGGAUAAAAGGUACUCUGGGGAUAACAGGCUGAUACCGCCCAAGAGUUCAUAUCGACGGCGGUGUUUGGCACCUCGAUGUCGGCUCAUCUCAUCCUGGGGCUGUAGCCGGUCCCAAGGGUAUGGCUGUUCGCCAUUUAAAGAGGUACGUGAGCUGGGUUUAAAACGUCGUGAGACAGUUUGGUCCCUAUCUGCCGUGGGCGUUGGAAUCUUGACGGGGGCUGCUCCUAGUACGAGAGGACCGGAGUGGACGUACCGCUGGUGUACCUGUUGUCUCGCCAGAGGCAUCGCAGGGUAGCUAUGUACGGAAGAGAUAACCGCUGAAAGCAUCUAAGCGGGAAACUCGCCUGAAGAUGAGGAUUCCCUGGAGCCUUGAGCUCCUUGAAGGGUCGUUCGAGACCAGGACGUUGAUAGGCUGGGUGUGGAAGCGCAGUAAUGCGUUAAGCUAACCAGUACUAAUUGCCCGUAAGGCUUGAUCCUAUAACCAGUGUGUUUCUACC